CGGAUCGGAGUCUGCAACCCGACUCCGUGAAGCUGGAUUCGCUAGUAAUCGCGCAUCAGCCAUGGCGCGGUGAAUACGUUCCCGGGCCUUGUACACACCGCCCGUCAAGCCAUGGAAGCCGGGGGUGCCUGAAGUGUGCAGCCGCAAGGAGCGCCCUAAGGUAAAACCGGUGACUGGGGCUAAGUCGUAACAAGGUAUC
rnacentral:rRNA from 1 species